UACGUAGGCAGCAAGCGUUGUUCGGAGUUACUGGGCGUAAAGGGUGUGUAGGCGGUUGUUUUAAGUUUGGUGUGAAAUCUCCCGGCUCAACCGGGAGGGUGCGCCGAAUACUGAAUGACUUGGAGUGCGGGAGAGGAAAGUGGAAUUCCGGGUGUAGCGGUGAAAUGCGUAGAGAUCCGGAGGAACACCAGUGGCGAAGGCG
rnacentral:rRNA from 1 species